ACUCCUACGGGAGGCAGCAGUGGGGAAUUUUGCGCAAUGGGGGAAACCCUGACGCAGCAACGCCGCGUGGAGGAUGAAGCCCUUUGGGGCGUAAACUCCUUUCGACCAAGACGAUAAUGACGGUACUGGUGGAAGAAGCACCGGCUAACUCUGUGCCAGCAGCCGCGGUAAUACAGAGGGUGCAAGCGUUGUUCGGAAUUAUUGGGCGUAAAGGGCGCGUAGGCGGUGCCACAAGUCACCUGUGAAAUCUCCGGGCUUAACUCGGAGCCUGCAGGCGAAACUGUGGUGCUGGAGUGUGGGAGAGGUGCGUGGAAUUCCCGGUGUAGCGGUGAUAUGCGUAGAUAUCGGGAGGAACACCUGUGGCGAAAGCGGCGCACUGGACCAUAACUGACGCUGAGGCGCGAAAGCUAGGGGAGCAAACAGGAUUAGAUACCCUGGUAGUCCUAGCCCUAAACGAUGAUUGCUUGGUGUAGCAGGUACCCAAUCCUGCUGUGCCGCAGCUAACGCGAUAAGCAAUCCGCCUGGGGAGUACGGUCGCAAGGCUGAAACUUAAAGGAAUUGACGG
rnacentral:rRNA from 1 species